ensembl:snoRNA
UUGGUGGUUAAUGAUGCACACUUUUUUCCCCGUCUUAUCGACUUUGGUGAAAAUCACUGAACUUAGCCAGUUGUGUCUGAAACCCCAU